rnacentral:rRNA from 1 species
AUUGAACGCUGGCGGCAGGCCUAACACAUGCAAGUCGAGCGGUAGAGAGGUGCUUGCACCUCUUGAGAGCGGCGGACGGGUGAGUAAGGCCUAGGAAUCUGCCUGGUAGUGGGGGAUAACGCUCGGAAACGGACGCUAAUACCGCAUACGUCCUACGGGAGAAAGCAGGGGACCUUCGGGCCUUGCGCUAUCAGAUGAGC